rnacentral:rRNA from 1 species
ACGGGGCGCAGCAGGCGCGAACACUGUGCAAUGCGCGAAAGCGCGACACGGGGAGCUUGAGUGUCUUGGCAUAGCCAAGACUUUUCUCAUUCCUAAAAAGCAUGAGGAAUAAGUGCUGGGUAAGACGGGUGCCAGCCGCCGCGGUAACACCCGCAGCACGAGUAGUGGUCACUUUUAUUGAGCCUAAAGCGUUCGUAGCCGGUUUUGUAAAUCUUCAGAUAAAGCCUGAAGCUUAACUCCAGAAAGUCUGAAGAGACUGCAAGACUUGAGAUCGGGUGAGGUUAAACGUACUUUCAGGGUAGGGGUAAAAUCCUGUAAUCCCGGAAGGACGACCAGUGGCGAAAGCGUUUAACUAGAACGAAUCUGACGGUAAGGAACGAAGGCUAGGGUAGCAAACCGGAUUAGAUACCCGGGUAGUCCUAGCUGUAAACAUUGCCCAUUUGAUGUUGCUUUUCCGUUGAGGGAAGGCAGUGUCGGAGCGAAGGUGUUAAAUGGGCCGCUUGGGAAGUAUGGUCGCAAGACUGAAACUUAAAGGAAUUGGCGGGGGAGCACCGCAACGGGAGGAAUGUGCGGUUUAAUUGGAUUCAACGCCGGAAAACUCACCGGGAACGACCUGUGCAUGAGAGUCAACCUGACGAGCUUACUCGAUAGCAGGAGAGGUGGUGCAUGGCCGUCGUCAGCUCGUACCGUAGGGCGUUCACUUAAGUGUGAUAACGAGCGAGACCCACAUCUUUAAUUGCAAAUGUAUAUGAGAAUAUGCAUGCACUUUAGAGAAACCGCCAGCGCUAAGCUGGAGGAAGGAGUGGUCGACGGCAGGUCAGUACGCCCCGAAUUUCCCGGGCUACACGCGCAUUACAAAGAACGGGACAAUACGUUGCAACCUCGAAAGAGGAAGCUAAUCGCGAAACCCGUCCAUAGUUAGGAUUGAGGGCUGUAACUCGCCCUCAUGAAUCUGGAUUCCGUAGUAAUCGCGGGUCAACAACCCGCGGUGAACAUGCCCCUGCUCCUUGCACACACCGC